CCAGAAGCUAUGUGUUGACGCCCAGGGCGGGGGCUGGGCUACACAAACCUUCUGGUACACCUGUGAUUCGCUCUCCUCCUCCGUUCACGAAAUGAACGGAGCAGCACGACGAAUCAGGAUCGUAGGGAGGGAUUUCAGUGGGUAUGACGUUUAUCGAACGCGACACCUUCCCCCAGGGUAGUUCGGCUGUGCCCGCCCCCUCACUGAAUCACAACAGUAAUGGCGGCGUGCGAGGGGUUAUCAUGCCUCGGGAUGGAAGCAGCAAUUUCAGCGGUGUUAUCCAAAAUACCUCAAGUUGAUUCUCUAAAGGAGGAGCAGUCCCGAGUCAUGGCUAUAGAAGAAGUGGCUGGCUAUGCUUUCUUCUGAAGUCUAUCAAAAAAACCUGGUGGGAAUUGUUGUGGAUGAAGUUCACGUAAUCUACAGAUGGGGCAACGGUGUAAAGGGGGAAUCCAGCAUUGAGAGAGAGAGCUUUUCUCGCCUGGGACAACUCUGCUCAGUUGUGAAAGAAAGGCACACCGGUCAUGGCUUUGACGGCUUCAGCAGAAGUUGUCAACAGAGAGAGGGUCAUCAAGCUGCUACACAUGCACAAUGCAACCCGGGUGACAGUGAGCCCAAAUAGACAUAACAUCAGGCUUGGCCUGAAACAUGUAUCUAGUAAUACCCUCUACCCUCACAUGCAGUCUUGUAUGCAAUCAAAGGAUCACCUAGGGUUGACAAGACAGUGAGAGAAGUGAUUAAGGCAGGCACACAGGCGUACAUUAGUACCAAACAUGCCACUUGUCACAAGCAAGGCUUUCUGCACCGGGUUUGGAACAAAGCUAAUAGAAGCAGCAGUCAACCAUAGUCCUUACAUCUUUGAUAUCACUUACAUAACAAACAACUUACCAGUGUGUAGGCUACGGCAUGCUCAGGAAAUUCUACUUAUAAUAAGUGAGGUGUUUGAUGACUUUGAGUAAACAGAGCAAACUCUCCCUGAUGACACUUUCUUAGUGCCAGACAUUGAUUUCACUGGCUAUUUUGAUGAGUCUGAUGAUGAGUCUGAAACUGAGACGCAACACAGCAGUAGUUCUGGGUCCAACUAGCAAAAUGUUAUCACAUGCUGUUGUAGCAAUGUAAAUACAAGAAUGGAAAUAAUGAUGUACAAAAGUCUUUGGAGAAAAUGUAAAUAUUUUUUAU